GCGGGAUGCUUACACAUGCAAGUCGAACGGCAGCAUAGAGAGCUUGCUCUCUGAUGGCGAGUGGCGAACGGGUGAGUAAUAUAUCGGAACGUGCCCAGUAAUGGGGAAUAACUAGCCGAAAGGUUAGCUAAUACCGCAUACGACCUACGGGUGAAAGCAGGGGAUCUUAGGACCUUGCGUUAUUGGAGCGGCCGAUAUCUGAUUAGCUUGUUGGUGGGGUAAAAGCCUACCAAGGCAACGAUCAGUAGCUGGUCUGAGAGGACGAUCAGCCACACUGGAACUGAGACACGGUCCAGACUCCUACGGGAGGCAGCAGUGGGGAAUUUUGGACAAUGGGGGAAACCCUGAUCCAGCCAUCCCGCGUGAGUGAAGAAGGCCUUCGGGUUGUAAAGCUCUUUCGAAAGUGAAGAAAACUUAUUUCGUAAUAUGUUAUAAGUAUGACGGUAACUUUAGAAGAAGCACCGGCUAACUACGUGCCAGCAGCCGCGGUAAUACGUAGGGUGCGAGCGUUAAUCGGAAUUACUG
rnacentral:rRNA from 1 species